GUUCCUCAUCAGUGACUACAGCCAAUGGUAAAUGUUAGCUGAGGAUUAACUCCCCAAUUGCUUGAACAGGGGAGCUUGACCAGGAGCAGCAGAUGAUGGCAUAAAGUGUUUGCUGAUCUCCAAGACUCCUAUGACUAUAGUUUGAAGGAACUUACAACUUAGCGGGAGCAGACAAGUAAAUUUAAUGCAUGGAGAGUUUUUGUUUAAAGGAAGGUCACUUCCCAUAGCCUGUGGAUUGAGGAGAAGAUGCUGAGAAGACUUUCUGAAGGGUCAAACUGCAUCUUAGUCCCGAAUGAUGCAUGAGAAUUGGCCAGGUGGAGAAGAAUGAGGGGAAGAGGGUUCUAAGCAGAGGAAAUAAUAUGAGCAAAGUAAUGGAAGCCCAAAACAGGAAAGUGGUUAUAUGAGACUGCGAUUUGGUGUUAAGAAAGUGGGAAAUUCAAGGCAAGGAGUGCUGACAGAUGAGUCUAGAGAGCCUGGAUUGGCGAGGCCUGAUGUCACUCAGUGCAGCAUGGUGAAGCACCCUUGAAAAUGAGUGGUGUCCUGGUUCGUUGGCUGGUCAGAACAUCAAACAAGGUCGAGUUUGGACGGGAUGGUAUGUCAACAUAAAAACCAUCUGGCAAGACCUUCUUAUUACCACCAUGACCUCUUGGGACCAUCAGGAUCCCAAGAUCCACAUCAGAGAGGAAGUAUAAUGGCCGCCCUCGUUAGAGAGAUGCGUCAUCCCUUGGUUCACAGCUGCCACAGGAUACUCGAAAAAUCAUUUCAUGGGUCUGGGUUGUUGAAGAAUUGGGUGUCCAUACAAAUAUCAACUAAUUGACUCUCGUGUUCCACAGUGUUGAGAUCUCCGGUUGAGACUGAUGUUCAGUGAGAAGAAGAUGAAAAGAUGCCUAUGGCGAGGACAUUGAAACUCUGAUUGUGUGUGUUGAAGGGAGAGGAGACAGAGUUUGGAAAGAAGAAGAAACUUCUCCUUCAGCUGCUUCUGCGAGUCCAGCAUCAUAAUUGCAUGAAACGAUUUCAUCACUGUCAGCAAGAGCUGGAACCAGUUUCAUCAGGUGCUACUGAAAUGAUCAUUAACUAUGGCCAGUGAAGGAUUCCAGCUGACUCCGGGGUGAAGGAUGGAGCUCAAGAAACAAAGUUUCUGGAAUUGUGGGGAAAACAACCCAGAAGCAGAAGAGAAAUAGUUGAGAAUAUCUAACUCUGUGAAGUUAUGUCCGCAGGCCUUUGGCUACUUCUGACAAUACAGAUCCAAUUGUGUUUCUAAGUUUGGAAUUCAAACUAAAUAAGUUAGGUCUCAAGAGCCCUUUUACAUGGUUGGACUAUUGCUGAAUUUUUAAACGUUUGAUUCGUCUUGGUUGGAGUAUUCCAUUAAAUAUGUUUUUC
rnacentral:lncRNA from 1 species